CCCGUGAACCNCGAGUCUUNGAACGCAAGUUGCGCCCGAAGCCUUCGGGCCGAGGGCACGCCUGCCUGGGCGUCACGCA
rnacentral:rRNA from 1 species